rnacentral:rRNA from 1 species
UAGGGAAUCUUCGGCAAUGGACGAAAGUCUGACCGAGCAACGCCGCGUGAGUGAAGAAGGUUUUCGGAUCGUAAAACUCUGUUGUUAGAGAAGAACAAGGACGUUAGUAACUGAACGUCCCCUGACGGUAUCUAACCAGAAAGCCACGGCUAACUACGUGCCAGCAGCCGCGGUAAUACGUAGGUGGCAAGCGUUGUCCGGAUUUAUUGGGCGUAAAGCGAGCGCAGGCGUUUUCUUAAGUCUGAUGUGAAAGCCCCCGGCUCAACCGGGGAGGGUCAUUGGAAACUGGGAGACUUGAGUGCAGAAGAGGAGAGUGGAAUUCCAUGUGUAGAGGUGAAAGGCGUAGAUAUAUGGAGGAACACCAGUGGCGAAGGCGGCUCUCUGGUCUGUAACUGACGCUGAGGCUGGAAAGCGUGGGGAGCAAACAGG